UCAGACUUCAGUGGUGGGGCUCAACAUUUAAUCCUCUGGACUAUUUUGCUUCCUUACAGGGUCCAGGUGGAGCCAAAUGCCGCCCCCUGGUGGUAGUUUGAAUCUGCGCAGGGCAUGCUAAAGUGCGCCCAGCGCCGCUACCUGAUUGGCUGGCGUGGAUUCCAAGGUGCUUUGCAAGUGCUGAUGCUAGGGCCCCCAGGCGGCAACCACAGCCCUGUCCCUCCGGGUUCAAGUGCAAAUUGGGGCAGGACAAACUGGCUUGUGAACUUGGGGGGUUUCCGGUUUCUCUCCUAUUCAUGUUGUGGUCGUGAAUUCAUCCCGGAUUUAGGACGAUGAUCGGACACCUACUGCGAGGUCCUCACCUGGCCCUCCAGGCAGGUGGGCGGGGAUCCACUCUGUGGAGUGUCCUAGGAAGAUUGGCCUGAAGCUAGGAAACCAUUGAUUUUAUUCAGACCACAGGUGCAUGCCUGCAUGCUAAAAGGACCCAGUUCGUGGAAGGUUCGUGCGGCACUAUGAGGAAGUACGGCGAGACAGAAAGAGAAGUUCCAUCCAUUUGUGACAGCCCAUGCUGUUGAGGAUGUGGAGAAAGAGGAACACUCCCCUAUUGUUGGUGAGAUUACAAGCUGGUGCAACCACUCUGGAUACCAGUCUGGAGGUUCCUCAGAAAAUUGGACAUAGUACUACCGGAGGCCACUC